CAAAUCUCCCCAACCUUAGACAGAUAUAAAUACACUGCAAGUACACAGCAGUCUCUGUGUUUGGUCGAGUACAGCAGAGGAAUCAUGAGCUGGCCUCUUCUUCUUCUGAUAUCCUCUGUGCCCCAUAUGCAUUGCAUCAGUCUGACCUCGUCUCCUGCUGAGGUUAAACCUCCCGGAGCCUCAGUGAAGUUGUUCUGUCAGAUUUCUGGCUAUGCCCUCACUAGCUACGGCACAGGCUGGAUCAGACAGCCUCCAGGAAAAGGCUUGGAGUGGAUCGGGAUCAUAUGGGGUGGUGGAAGCAUAGACUGGACCUUCUAUGAAACUUGCUUCAGUGUCUCCAGAGACACAAGCAACUCUGUGCUUUACUUAGAUGUUGUCACGUAAUAGGGCGUAAUAGAGGUUAGGUUGGACGCAAUUGCAGAGAAGAGCUUAAUUAAAGAGAGGCAGACAGACAAAUCCAAAACGUGAAUCAAAAGCAUGGUCAAAACAGGCAAAAAGUAAGGCGAUUGGCAAAUGGGCAUAAACUAGGCUAAAUAAAAAUGUAUUUACCAUUUAUUUUGAGUUAAAACUUAAAAGGUACAAUUCACGUAAAUCCGUCACAUCCUAUAUACAUAGGGAAAUCUUAAAUGAUUAAAAGCAAGAUAAACACAUAAUAAAUAAUGA